GGAAGGUAUGGUGAUGAGAGGAACAGCAUCGAUUACCACCUUUUGUAGUGAUGGAGUAGCAUCUGUCUUUGUUGGUGAGGAUUUGGCAGAGUUAGACAUGAUUUGUAUUUGAAGUUUUCUGAGAAGAGGAGAAGUCAGAGAGAUGUUGAUGAGGAAGAUAGAGAGUUUUUGAGCGUGAGAGAGAGAAUAGAUGAAAAAUAAUGAUUGUGGUUGAUGGAGGUUGUGGGAAGUUGAAUGNN
rnacentral:lncRNA from 1 species